UGGGUGACGGGGGAAGUGACGGGGGACUGGCUCACCCUCACCGUCCAUGGACUGACGCCUUCAAGGAAGUAUUUGCACAAGAUGCACUCUCACAAUGUCAAAGGUUUUGGUCCAUUCUCCUCCGUGGAAAGCUUCACGACUUCCAGCUGUUGACAAGAGCAUCGGUGAGCCCCCUGGCUGGUGUGUGGAGCGAGAGGCCUGAUUGUGCUGGUGAUCGCUGGCGUGGCAGGAGCCAUGACCAGCUGGGGGCCUUCUUGGCCACCACACUGUACUGCCAUGGUCAAGGCGGAGCCCAGGCCAAGCAUUGUUGUUGGCGGCAGCUGCAGUGAGAGCAACAAGCCUGGCGUCCAGCCUCCAGACCUGUGGAUCCAUCACGGCCACUUGGAGCUGAAGAACUUUGACAAGGGUGAGCGCAGCAACUCCCCCAACCACGCCUCCAUCAUCCAGCACACAGCUGAAGAUCAACAACAAGGAGAUGACGGCGCUAGACCAGAUGCUUGGGGCACUCCUGGAGGCUCUGCAGGACAAGGCCAAGGAAACAAAGAGUGGCCAGGCUCUGGGACCGAGGCACAGAGAGCCAAGACGGCCGAGGGUUUAUCAAGACUGACAACAACGUGACGGUCAAAGUGUUAGAGGUGUCAGGUUCCUGCACAGGUGAACGAAGGUGGAGUCAUGGCUUUGGGGCGGCUCGCUAAAAAGAUCAGAUGAGCCACAAUGGGCGCAGGUCACCACAUGCGGGUCGGGGGUCACACAGCCACCGUUCACGACCUGACCCCUAAGAGUGGAUACCAGCUGUCUGGAGUGGACACAGAAGUGGAUUCCUUACAACAUCGGGACUCCCUUUAAGAUCUCGGUCACCCUCGGAGUCUUGUCACUGGAAACUUCCCGAGGAGCUGCGUCGGCGCGUCACACUCCACCUCCAAGCUAACCCAGGACUGUCCCAGGCUGAGCUGCAUGACAUCCUAUACUAAGAUCGAACCCGCCUGCAACCUCAAGAUCAAGUACGGGUCACCCAAGCCUAGGAGACACCGUAGCCCUCGCCGAUCUAAGAGGUACCCUCCCGACGUGAGUAAGUGCUCAUUAUUGUCGAUCUCUGGGUACUGCCAAGACCUCACACACCACACACCCCAUCCCUCUUGCUCAAGGGGGGACAGUAACCACUUCUAGUCAACGGAAAGAAUCUGGCCUGAGCGGGGCUCGAACUGCCGCCUGUUUGGCCGUGAAGACUUGCAGUGCAGCGCUCUACCAAUUGAGCUACCGGAGCGGCCUCAGCAUCACCAGACCUUGGGAGCAGCAGCCCAGUGCCAACACCAGGCCACAGGACCCCAGGCUGCCCAGCACACUGCCAGUGCCGGGGAUCUUCAGACCCGUCUCCAGCCUUAGGGAAUGGAGGGCGGAGGGCUGCAGUGGCGGUGGCGGCUAUAGUAAUGUGUCAGCAAUAUUUUUUUUCUGCCUCUAGGUGUGGUAGUCUUUCUUGGUGGUGGGUCCCGUCGGCCAGCCCCAGCCCUCUAUAGUGCAGGGAAGUGUUUAUAGUGGCGCCACCUUGCCUGGAUCACUUCUGAUCCCCUCUUUUAGAGAGAGAAUCUAGAGUCUGGGUUGACAGGCGUCCACCAUGACAGCAUGUGGGUAGUGUUGGGCCACUCGGCAGUGACUGAAAAAUACUGUCUGUGGUGGUGGGAGGGACCCAAACCCUCAUCCUGCACUGGUGGUCACUUUUUGUGUCAAUUAUUUAUUAUUACUAUUAUUAUUAUUAUUAUUAUUAUUAUUAUUAUUAUUAUUAUUAUUAUCUUUUUUAUGUCGUAGCCUAUAGCAGCGGCAGGCUUUGGUCAGUGGCCUGGCGGUGGGCCCGCGGUGUUUUCAGUGGCAGGGUUGUAAUUCCUGGGGCUGGAUAGAGAUUCCCAAAUAUCUUCUGCAUCGGCCUAAAAAUGCCCCGAAGAGUGCUGGGUUUUCAAAAUUUUCCCCACCUGAGGAUGCCUUCUAGACCCCAAAAAUAUCUGCCAAAAUUAGUCCUGAGUGGUGGUGGUGGUGUUGAAAAUGUUAAUGACAGUGAUGAGAAGCAUUGUUAGGGGUGCUGGUGUGUAGUGAUGAAGUGGUGGUGAUGUCAGUCUGUGGUGGUGUUGAAAACUAGCCUCUUUUAAACGGUGAUGAGUGGUGGUGAACGGUGUUUACUGUACUGGUGGUGAUGAAAAUUGGUGUUGAUGGCCUUUGUGGAGGUGUUGAUGGCAGUGGUGAUGAAAUAUAGGCAUGUUUAGAGGUUCUGGUGUUGAUGGUGGAGGUACUUGUGUUGGUGGUGAUGAAAAUUGGUGUUAUAGCCCUGGUGGUGAUGAUCUCUAUACCUAAUGGUGUUGUAAAUAUGCAUCUUUAGUGGUGUGGCAGUGUUGAAGGCAGUGGUGAUGAAAAAUUGGUGUCCAGUGGUGUUGUGUGGUGGUGAAACAUGCAUCAACUCCACAUGCAAGACUUAACACCAUUUUUGUCCAUUCCAAAAUUUCAUGUAUAUCUAUUGCAGUUCAUUUUUAUUUUUAUUUAUUUUUAUUACUUCAACAGUAAAUUAGAAUGCUCAAGGUGAUGGAAAGGAAUGAAGAAAGAGAGAGACAGGAGAGGAUAAAAAUAGCUUAAUCUAUCUAUCCCACUCUUAUUCUGCAAGAUGUACAAUAGGGAACAUAGUCUUUCAUUACACCCAGUCCUUCAGCUCUUAAGGAUGGCUCCAGAGUCCAGUCUUAGCAGUUAAGUCCCCAAAGUCUUGUUCAUGUUAUUUUAGUGCCAGUGAGUGCCUGCUUACAGUGCCAAAGUGACCCUUUCUGUCCCUUCCCUUCCUAGCUCAUGGGAAGGUUGGUGAGAGAGAGAGAGAGAGAGAGAGAGACUACAUACAUAGAAAAGCAGACCACACAGACCCCAUGGUCCAGACUAGGUGGUCUGUCCUUAAACAAAAGUGAUUCUACAUUAAUCAGAUGGCUCCAAAACGUUGCUUUUCUAUUCUAGUUAAUAUUAAGUUCAAGGAAGUGACGGUCGAGCUUGU